UAGGUAAUUUUACAAUUUAGACAGUUCCU
rnacentral:piRNA from 1 species